CUCUUCCUCUUUCCCCACGAUUUUUCUUUUGCCCUCUGGCUCCCUCCUCUCAUGUCAAAUCUACUUCCCUCAAUCUUGUGCCUCAUCUGUCUCCCAUUUUCUCAGGGGAAUGGAUGUGAGAAAAGGAAAGUAAAACAGAAAAAGAAAAGGCCAAUGGAAAAAACAUGUAAGACAACCAAAAGAUAAAUACAAACUACUAAACUAAAAAACAAGCAUGGCUUAAGAAAUAACAACCAACACAAGAGAAAAACAAAGCAGCG
rnacentral:lncRNA from 1 species